rnacentral:tRNA from 1 species
GCCUUCAUGGUGUAGUGGUCAGCACGCUGGGCAGGUAUUCCAGGGGUCGGUGGUUCGAGUCCCGGCGAAGGCG